UAUAUAUAGUCUCUUAUUAGAAUUUAAUUUAGCAAUAAUGUUAUAAGCGGUAGUAGAAAUUUUUCGUUAAUUAUCGUUUAAUACAAUAAAUUAGAUCGUGGCCUAUUUAAGUUGGAAAUAACAGACCGUACUCUGUUUGAUAAUCAGAUCAACAUUAUCUUUGUUGCCGCUAUGUGGUUACCAUGGAAACAGAGAUGGUAAAGAUUCCAUUUUAUAAUCGUUAAUAUAAUUUACUGUAAUUUUGUUGUUUCUUACAAUGAUUUUUAAUAUUAAACAUAAAGACUAUAGAUCUUAUAAUUAAUUAUAAUGUCAAAAAGAACACGUGAAAGCUGUAUUAUAAUUGGAUUCAAGAAGUUUUGUGGUGGCGGCCACGCACUCCAUAAAAUCUAGAUACAUUAGCGGAUUAAUCACACACAAACAUUGCACGUAUACGCACUGGUUAACUAACACACAAAAUGUAUUGUUGCAAACUCUGACAGCUCGCAAAUAUUAGCAAUUAAGUUUAUUUCAUGGUUUCUUAUUAUUCAGUUUAAUUAUAAUAUUCAGCUUAAUAAUAUACUACACUCAUAAAUUAAAUACCGCGCUUAGUUAUAAACUAUAAGAAUGCAAAUAAUUUUGCUCGUUCUACUGGCUUUUUACAAUAUGCUAUAUCAUUAUGUAAUUCUUAAUUAAUAAUGUCUAUAAUAUUCAUUAUUAUUGUGUGAUAACAAUUGGGUACAUAUAUUCGUAGUUCAUAGUUGAUUUCGUUAUCGUAAGCGGUCGAAGCCCCUUACUUUAGCAUCAUAUUAUGUAUUUGCAUGCACUCCGAUAACCUCGUUCAAUAUAAUUAUUGUUUACCUUAAUUGCUUCUAUGUUAACAUUACAGUUUUAAUAAAUUAAGAUUUGGCGGA